rnacentral:rRNA from 1 species
CUACGGGUCGCUCCAGUGAGGAAUAUUGCACAAUGGGGGAACCCUGAUGCAGCAACGCCGCGUGGAGGAUGACGCAUUUCGGUGUGUAAACUCCUUUUAUAUGUCAAGAAAAUGACGGUAGCAUAUGAAUAAGCACCGGCUAACUCCGUGCCAGCAGCCGCGGUAAUACGGAGGGUGCAAGCGUUACUCGGAAUCACUGGGCGUAAAGGACGCGUAGGCGGGUUGGAAAGUCAGGUGUGAAAUCCUACAGCUUAACUGUAGAACUGCACUUGAAACUUCUAAUCUAGAGUAUGGGAGGGGGAGAUGGAAUUAGUGGUGUAGGGGUAAAAUCCGUAGAUAUCACUAGGAAUACCUAAAGCGAAGGCGAUCUCCUGGAACAUUACUGACGCUAAGGCGUGAAAGCGUGGGGAGCAAACAGGAUUAGAUACCCUCGUAGUC